UACGUAGGAUCCGAGCGUUGUCCGGAUUUACUGGGUGUAAAGGGUGCGCAGGCGGACUGGUAAGUCAGUGGUGAAAUCUCGUCGCUUAACGACGAAACUGCCUUUGAUACUAUCAGUCUUGAAUCCGGUAGAGAUCUGUGGAAUUCCGAGUGUAGCAGUGAAAUGUGUAGAUAUUCGGAAGAACACCAGUGGCGAAGGCAGCAGAUUGGGCCGGUAUUGACGCUCAGGCACGAAAGCGUGGGGAGCAAACAGG
rnacentral:rRNA from 1 species